CUUCAGGACACACCUGGAGGAGAAGCCGCACGUGUGCCAGUUCUGCAGCCGUGGCUUCCGAGAGAAGGGCUCACUGGUGCGGCACGUGCGACACCACACAGGCGAGAAGCCGUUCAAGUGCUACAAGUGCGGCCGUGGCUUCGCUGAGCAUGGCACGCUGAACCGGCACCUGCGCACCAAAGGGGGCUGCCUGCUGGAGGUGGAGGAGUUGCUGGUGUCUGAGGAGAGCCCCACGGCAGCCACCACUGUCCUCGCGGAGGACCCGCACACAGUGUUGGUGGAAUUCUCGUCCGUGGUAGCUGACACCCAGGAGUAUAUCAUCGAGGUGGGUGUGGGGCCCUGGGGCCGUGUUGGGACCCGGGGGCAGCCAAGGCUGACCUCUGUCCUUCUGCCCAUCUGCCCAGGCCACUGCGGACGAUGCCGAGACCAGUGAGGCUACGGAGAUCAUCGAGGGCACCCAGACGGAGGUGAGGGGUGGGGCAGGCGGGGGCGGGGAGGCUCCCUGGCACAGCCGCUCUUGCUGAGCCGUGGCCCCGCAGGUGGACAGCCACAUCAUGAAGGUGGUGCAGCAGAUCGUGCACCAGGCUAGCGCCGGCCACCAGAUCAUCGUGCAGAACGUCACCAUGGACGAGGAGACGGCGCUGGGCCCAGAGGCGGCUGCCGCCGACACCAUCACCAUCGCCACCCCCGA
rnacentral:sRNA from 1 species